GACGUAGGGCGCGAGCGUUGUCCGGAUUUAUUGGGCGUAAAGGGUGCGUAGGUGGUUUGUUAAGUCUGCUGUGAAAUCCCCGGGCUCAACCUGGGAAUGGCAGUGGAUACUGGCAAGCUAGAGUGCGGUAGAGGGUAGUGGAAUUCCCGGUGUAGCAGUGAAAUGCGUAGAGAUCGGGAGGAACACCAGUGGCGAAGGCGGCUACCUGGACCAGCACUGACACUGAAGCACGAAAGCGUGGGGAGCAAACAGGG
rnacentral:rRNA from 1 species